rnacentral:rRNA from 1 species
CCUACGGGAGGCAGCAGUGGGGAAUAUUGGACAAUGGGGGCAACCCUGAUCCAGCAAUGCCGCGUGUGUGAAGAAGGUCUUCGGAUUGUAAAGCACUUUCGACGGGGACGAUGAUGACGGUACCCGUAGAAAAAGCCCCGGCUAACUUCGUGCCAGCAGCCGCGGUAAU